AUUGAACGCUGGCGGCAUGCCUUACACAUGCGAGUCGAACGGUAACAGGUCUUCGGAUGCUGACGAGUGGCGAACGGGUGAGUAAUACAUCGGAACGUGCCUAGUAGUGGGGGAUAACUACUCGAAAGAGUGGCUAAUACCGCAUGAGAUCUACGGAUGAAAGCAGGGGAUCGCAAGACCUUGUGCUACUAGAGCGGCCGAUGGCAGAUUAGGUAGUUGGUGGGAUAAAAGCUUACCAAGCCGACGAUCUGUAGCUGGUCUGAGAGGACGAUCAGCCACACUGGGACUGAGACACGGCCCAGACUCCUACGGGAGGCAGCAGUGGGGAAUUUUGGACAAUGGGCGAAAGCCUGAUCCAGCAAUGCCGCGUGCAGGAUGAAGGCCUUCGGGUUGUAAACUGCUUUUGUACGGAACGAAAAGCCCCGGGUUAAUACCCUGGGGUCAUGAUGGUACCGUAAGAAUAAGCACCGGCUAACUACGUGCCAGCAGCCGCGGUAA
rnacentral:rRNA from 1 species